CUCUGGCAUCCAUAUAACAUUCUGAUGUCAGGUGUCAAGUCCUGACUCCAGCAGGUGCAGGCUCUCAAGCAACAGCCCCCCGGGGCCGGGGUGAUAGAAGGGGCACUAAAGGAUGCCCCCACAGCGACUGGUCGUCAGCAGCUCAGCUCCAGGAGGCGAACACGCUGUCAUCCGCGUCCAGCAGGGCCUGGGGCUUGUCGUACUCCAGGAUGAUGCCCCGCUUCAUCACAAUCACCAGGUCGGCGUUCAGGAUGGUGUGGACGCGGUGCUGCACAGUGGGGAGGAAGAGAGUCGGUCACUAGUCUAUAGAGUAAAACAUUGUCUUUCAGUACAUCUUGAGGCACAUGUCCUCACUGUGGGAGUCCGGCAUCUGCCCGGGUUUCCCCCCCGUUCCUUCUUUUCUCUUAUACCUUUUUUUAAAUUUUCCUCUCUGUAGGGGAGAUACUCACUGCUAUAGUCACCACUGUUCGGUCGGCAAACGCAGUCAUCACCACCUUCUGCAGGAUGCUCUCCUGUGAGAGAGGGAGAGAGGAGGAGGAUGACACUGACAAACUCACGUCCAUGUCGCCUCAGAAUCAGAGUAUAAAUUCAUUCAAAAUUCAUUUUAAACAGUCCCUCACUCUCUUGUAGCGUCUCUUUCAAACUGUUUCCUCGAGGGCAGUGCUGCCGCUGCUGCUGCUGCUGCUGCUUUGACGCGAGAUAGGAACGUUGCUCUUUGUGGCCGCUCAUUGAAACCAGGGUCUUUAGUAAGACGCGGUCACCGUGUUCCCCUCAGGCUCUCAACCCCGCUCAGUGUUUUCCCUCCAUUUCAGCCUCUCGCUCUCUGCCUCAUACUGUACACACUUCCUCCUCCAGCGGCUGAAGAAAAUAUCUUUUAAAAAUACAAGCCGUGAUCCAAACAUGAUCAAAACUUGCGAUCGCUGCCAAACCGAUUAUACAAGAGAACAAAAUCUGAGUUGUUUCUGUAUUUUUGUUGCUGUCAAUGGUUUAUAUUUUCAAUGAAGCUCAAGAAAUGCAGAUUUUCCAUCCACAGAUUAUAACUUUUAUAAAUUCAAAUAUGUACUUUUAGAGCUUAAAGAAUACGUAAAGGUGAAGAUUGGGUCAUGAAUAUACGUAGUUCUCCCUACAUUGCACUGUAUUCAUUAUAGUAUUUCUAUUUUAUCUUACCUGCCUUAGAUUCUGCUAUCUAUUCUUAUUUUAUUAAAUUUUUUUAUUCCAUUUUCCCCUUGUGCUGCCACACGUCUGUGGUGCCGUGUCAAAUUAGAAUUUCCCCCUACAGGGAUCCAUGAAGGCAAAUCUUAUCUAAUCUAAUCUUAUGAAUUCUCCAUCUUUCUGCUUGCCCCUUCAUUGCGCAUCGUUUCCAUGCCUUCUCCUUUUCUUCCCCCUUCUCUUCACCUUGUAUUCCUGCGCCGCCUCCCUCCGUCGUCUCCUCUCCACUUAGCUUUCUUUGUCAAACACACACUGACCGUUGCCAUGUCUAUGGACGCCGUGGCUUCAUCCAUGAUGAGGAUGCUGCUCUUCCUCACGAAGGCCCUGGCCAGACAGAACAGCUGCCUCUGACCCUGACUGAAGUUCUCCCCUCCCUCCGUCACCAUGGCGUCUGCAAGAAAAAAGAAAAAAACACAUCUUUGAUUCUCUAACUUUGAGGAGCACACAACGCCGCCCAGUCGAUAUUAAUAUGUGUGAAAGAUGUAACAGAGUUAAGUUGCAGAUUGCUUUUAUAUGCAAUGUAUAAAUACCACUCUGUUAUUUCAGUGAGACGAGAGGACAAAGUUAAUUAGCCAUUUACUCCUGUCUUCUAAGUCUAUAUUGCAUAUUGAUUUCACAUUCUGUGUUAUGAAGGAGGCACGGUAAAGUGAAGUGAUCCUGAUUCCUUUUGGGGGUUUUUUUUAAAUCAAAAGGAAACUUUUAAUAAGCGUUUAUUUGGUGUUAUUGCAAAGUCUGGGGAGCGUUUCAACUCCACGACUUUCACUCUGCUUUUAUUUUGUGUACAUUUUCAUAUUUAUUUGACAUUUAUAAGAACAGAGACGGACGGGAAGACCAGGGGAGAGAAUCAAAGCGCGGGGACGCCUCGACGAUGACGACGUGAGGGAUGAAGUUGAGGUGAAUAUUUCAUUAAAAACAUCAGCCUUUUAUUGAAUGUGGCCAAGCAUUGUCCUCUUGUCGCAUGGAUGAAAAGUAAAAUCUUAACAAUA